rnacentral:rRNA from 1 species
UACGAAGGGAGCUAGCGUUGUUCGGAAUCACUGGGCGUAAAGCGCACGUAGGCGGAUGUGUCAGUCAGGGGUGAAAUCCUGGAGCUCAACUCCAGAACUGCCUUUGAUACUGGCGAGCUUGAGUCCGGGAGAGGUGAGUGGAACUGCGAGUGUAGAGGUGAAAUUCGUAGAUAUUCGCAAGAACACCAGUGGCGAAGGCGGCUCACUGGCCCGGUACUGACGCUGAGGUGCGAAAGCGUGGGGAGCAAACAGG